CUUUUUAUCUAGACUGUGUCUUUAAAGUGGUGGAAAUGACCAAUUCUGUGUCUUAGGAGGGAGGUGGCAUGAAGCCGGGAAAUGACUGAGGAAGGGAUACUGAUAUGAAAUGAUUUAUUUCUGGAAAAUGCUCUUGUCCCUGGUUCCCUUCACGCCCCCACCCCCAGCCUCAGCUCUGUCUGGGUGGAACGAAUGUCUGCUAAUGAACUAAACAAACAGGUCUCUUAAUCUUAUCAUGGAGCUGACCCAGAGACUGGCACAGAUAUCCAAAGUAUCAUAAUUGGCAGGUCAGAAUUAAAACUACAUACAUCAUGGUGACUUUAUAGCUGAGGCAAAGUGGAGCUCAAGUGUUACUUUCCCAGUAAGCAAAUCAUAAUGAAGUAUCAUGCUGGUGACUAAUUUAACUAACAUUGUCCAGGAAAUUGCUGUUGUCCAGGAAGAGAAGAGUUGAGCCGAGUGUCAACUACUAGGCUUCUGGCACCAUCCUGCACAAGAAAUUGGUAAGUUCUACUGUGUUAUUUCCUAGCUUGGUGGUCUCAGUUGCAUCACAGCUAACUUAUAGCCUAAAUUGACAGGCCCACCUCCAAUUUAUUAAUUCCUUGGUCUUAACUUCAAAAUAUAUCAUCUCAUGUUUACUCAAUUAUUUAUUGAACAA
rnacentral:lncRNA from 1 species